UAUUCUUCAAGUACUUCAAAAUUUUCUAAUAUCAUUUUUAAAAAUUUAAGUAAAAAUAUCGUUUUUACGACUCAUAAUUUUCAAUACAUUGGAAUUUCCAACAAUUCAACUAUCAAAAUGGGCUACCCUGAUGCGUACAUGUAUGUAUGUGUGUAUGUAUUUAUGCAUGUAGACAAACACAUUUGCAGUCGUCUAAUGAUUUGUGGGCCUCGUUGGCACAUACAGAUUUGCACGCACUCGACUCAAUCGAUUUGUAGAAGAAGGGGGACGGCAAAACAGAUUUGGGUUGAAUCAUAGCCGAUCUGUGGCAGUACCUCUGGAAAAAGUCGACUGACGGUGAGAAGGAUUUUUCUGCUCAAAACUAUCUCAAAUCCAAGAACCAAAAAAAUUUUAUUGUUACAAUAGAUAAAUACAAGUAAUGAUAGAAGGACUGAUUUAUCAGCUGAUCAAAUUUGAUCCGGACUCCGAUAAAAAAUUUAGUUUACUACAACCUUUUUUAUGUUCGUGUAAGGUGUGAUUUCUAUAUGUCAAUUACUGUAUGUUUACAACUCGAAAGGUUUGUCUGAAGAUUUUUACCAUUAACAAAAAAAAUUGAACAACGAAUUUCCUUCAAAUUUUUAUUUCCAAUAAAAUCACGGUUACGGAUUCUUUGAAAAUAAUGCCGAAAUGUUUUGUAGAAACAAAGCUAUCACGAACACAUUUAUUUAAGUAGCGCAAAUCAUUCAAUGAAGGUCGUGAAGUCACCGAUAACUUAUCUCUUGCGAGUCGUCCAUCAUCCGGUGUGAAAGACGAUAACAUCGCAACAUCUCUUAUGGAUCGACUAAACUUCUAUCAAAAACCCGUAUCUUUUGUAAAAACGGCGACGAGAGAGGUCGCAAAAGACAACGUAGCUGAGAGCUUCACAUUAAUCAAACGCAUCCUUACUGGUUGCAACACGGGGCUUUCUGAAUAUGUCGUCGAAACUGUCCAACAAUCUAGCGAAUGGCAUUCCAAAAUGAGCUGAAACCGAAAAAAUAUAAAUUAACCAUAAUUGGACCAAUAUCAUCCACCGAUAUCUAUUUUCAGUAGGGAAGCACAUAAUUGUAAGGGAAAUAUUGUCGCUUAUUAUUUGUAAUGAUGUCUAGUUUUUUCAAAGUUAUACGUGUAUAUGGAUAAAAUAAGAAGAUGAAUGAACAGAUUGUACCUAAUUAUAGAACCAGACCACAGUAUUUUUGAUGAUCUCAUUUAAUUGUAUUGAAAUAUCUUACUUAAAUCAUAUCUACAUAAAAAAGAGUUUAUUACAUUUGCAGAGGUUCAGAAUUGAUGGUAUGGCGGUUAGGGCAACGUAUGGACCGAUUCCAGCCAGGUUUAAUACCAGACCUAAUUAUUGUCUUAGAAAUACAUGUUCAAAUUACAUUAAAAUGUCUAUUCAAAUAUCUCACAUAUGGGCAAAUUUAUUUGAGCUAAAAUCAACC